rnacentral:rRNA from 1 species
UACGGAGGGUGCGAGCGUUGUCCGGAAUCACUGGGCGUAAAGGGCGCGUAGGUGGCCCGUUAAGUGGCUGGUGAAAUCCCGCGGCUCAACUGCGGGGCUGCCGGUCAUACUGGCGAGCUAGAGCACGGUAGGGGCAGAUGGAAUUCCCGGUGUAGCGGUGGAAUGCGUAGAGAUCGGGAAGAAUAACAGUGGCGAAGGCGUUCUGCUGGGCCGUUGCUGACACUGAGGCGCGACAGCGUGGGGAGCAAACAGG